UUGGCGGCCUCGACUUUUGGGCGUUGUAAAACGCCGACAGCGAUCAGUAAACAGGCUUAUUGCCCACGUGUUGCUAUAUUUGUACACGGAUGGGGGUAACCUGUUGUAAAGUUACAUUUGUUCUGCGUUGUACAAGGAUGGACAGAGAUGUGUGAGUCGGAUACCUGCGGCCGAGAUGCAGAGGUCGCUGUCACCUAACAUGACUGACCGGAAGAAGGGUCAUGAGCGGCCAAGUCGAUAUGGUCUCCCGCUACCGGAAGUCUGCCAUCUUACUCUGGACAAGGCCACAAUACAGGACCGAGCUGUCUUCAUUAUCGGCGACGUCCAUGGCUGCUACGAUGAACUCACAGAACUGAUGGACAAAGCUCGGACAUUGGAUGACACAGUGUUGUUUGUGUUUGUUGGGGAUCUGGUCAACAGGGGCCCCAAGUCUAAGGAGGUGGUCAAGCUUCUCCGAAGAACAGAAUGCUACUCCGUUCGGGGAAAUCAUGAGGAGACAACUCUACGUGAACAUGCCCGGCUUAUAAAGGACCCCGGGUAUGAUUUACCGGAACGAUACCAAUACAUCCGGACAUUUGAUGAAGGGGAUUUAGAUUAUUUGAAAAGUCUUCCGUAUACUAUACGCAUUCCUUCUUUACAAGCCAUUAUUGUCCACGCUGGUCUUGAGCCUGGAGUUGUUCUCGAGGAACAGUGUUUGACGGCCAUGACACACAUGAGGAGUUUAGUCCAGAGAGGGGCUACGGACCCAACCGUUCACCCAUCGAACAAGAUCUCUGAAGGCGUACCGUGGGCUUCGUUGUGGACUGGCCCCGAACAUGUGUAUUAUGGCCAUGAUAAGAAAAGAGGCUAUGUGGAACAUGGGUUCGCGACGGGUUUAGACACAGGGUGUGUUACUGGGGAACAUCUGACCGGUAUGUUUAUUAAUGGAUGUCGUAAAACAUUGUCUGUACCUGCCCGGAAACAAUACUGGGUGGACACGCCGUAAACGAGCGUCCUGAUUAGUAGUGGUAGGAGGCCCUGAUUAGUAGUGGUAGGAGGCCCUGAUUAGUAGUGGUAGGACGUCCUGAUUAGUAGUGGUUAGGAGGCCCUGAUUAGUAGUGGUAGGAGGUCCUGAUUAGUAGUGGUAGGAGGCCCUGAUUAGUAGUGGUAGGACGCCCUGAUUAGUAGUGGUAGGAGGCCCUGAUUAGUAGUGGUAGGAGCUGGUAGGAGGGACAGGCUAGGAGGGUGUGGGGAAUUAGUGUGUGCUGAUUAGUAGUCACACCAUAAGAGUAGAACCAGACUCUU
rnacentral:misc_RNA from 1 species